UGGGGAAUUUUGGACAAUGGGCGCAAGCCUGAUCCAGCCAUUCCGCGUGAGUGAAGAAGGCCUUCGGGUUGUAAAGCUCUUUCGCAAGGGAAGAAAACUUACAUUCUAAUAAAGUGUGAGGCUGACGGUACCUUGAUAAGAAGCACCGGCUAACUACGUGCCAGCAGCCGCGGUAAUACGUAGGGUGCGAGCGUUAAUCGGAAUUACUGGGCGUAAAGCGUGCGCAGGCGGUUUUGUAAGUCAGAUGUGAAAUCCCCGAGCUCAACUUGAGAACUGCGUUUGAAACUACAAGACUAGAAUAUGUCAGAGGGGGGUAGAAUUCCACGUGUAGCAGUGAAAUGCGUAGAGAUGUGGAGGAAUACCAAUGGCGAAGGCAGCCCCCUGGGAUAAUAUUGACGCUCAUGCACGAAAGCGUGGGGAGCAAACAGGAUUAGAUACCCUGGUAGUCCACGCCCUAAACGAUGUCUACUAGUUGUUGGUGGAGUAAAAUCCAUGAGUAACGCAGCUAACGCGUGAAGUAGACCGCCUGGGGAGUACGGUCGCAAGAUUA
rnacentral:rRNA from 1 species